AAGUCUUCUCCAACUCACCUUUCUCUUCUUUCUCUGCAAGCAAACGAGAGGGAGAAACCCCACAGUACCUCCUCCACCCACCAUGGCGCCGCCGCUGCAGACCACCCCCCGCCGUACCGAGGGCACCAGAAGAUCCGCCUCGUCGUCCUCUUCAUCCCCGUGCAAGGAAUUGAGCUCGGACGCCCCCAAUCGCUGUCGAUUUCGCCGUUUCUUCUUCAACUCCGGCGGCCAAUUCUCCGAAUUCCGGCAGCCAUCGUCGUCGUCUGCCCGACCUGAGCCCAGGAACCUCACCGCCGGUGAUGCUCCGGUGACCCCCUGGACUCCACACCACCGCCAUCAGGUUCCUUGUGUUCUGGCGCAUCCCCGACGCCAAGUUCCCCGUCCCGAAUCGCCUUGAAUCGCCGGAUUGCUUGGCUACUGGAUCUCCCCGCCAUGGCUAUUUUGUUCAAGCUCGUCCCUGGCACCGCUUGGUUCUAGAUGUCCCGUGCCACAGUUUUGACAAGAUCUGCAUCACCAGCCCAGUGAUCCUUGAACGGGCCUUGGCACUGGUUCAUGCCCCGACGCUACAGCAGGCCAUAUCAGGCCCAGGACAAUGCAGCAUUUGCUUCUUCCCGGAUAGGAUCACGAAGUGGUGUGGUGAGAUACGCC